UCACAGCUUUAAGUACAUAGGUAACUAAGUUACGCAUACUCAUGCAAAAACUUUGCAAAGUAACCAGCUCCCCAAACUCAAGCUUGCAAGGAAACUUAAUUGAGAAGUUAAACCCAGAAAGUCGUCUCACCUGAACUUGCAAAUCCGAUUACUUGUUCUGGGAAAUACUGAGUAAAAGAGUUAACAGAAUUGAGUCCAGCAUGUAUUUUACGUACCUUUCACACAGUGGAUGCGGAAAAGAGAGGAAAACACAACAGCACAAGUCCUAUUAAAUCUCCAGUGAUCCUGGAUGUAUAUUUUUUUUUAAAUGGAGGAAAAAAACCUAAAUUGAAUGUCCCUCAUUACAAGAUAAAUUUUGGAAUGACAGAUUGACUCACCCUCUGCUGAUAGACCCUGUAUGUUUAUUCCCUUGGCAGCCAAGAAACUCAGACAUGCAUCUAUGUUUUCAAUCUAAACAGGAAACAAGGAGACAAAAGAAUACGCGUUGUAGUAAAUGUUUACUUAAUCUACAGUCACAUUUUAUUGCCUACAACCUUUGUAUCACAGAAAAAGCCCCUUUGUUCAUUGCAGUGGAAAAAGGGUUCUUAAUAUUGGAACCAUAACAACAUGAAAACUCCUAAGUUAUUAGACAAUCAACACUGUGUUGAUUAGGGCUCCUCUUAGUUUGUAUUUGUACGGAGCAAGUUAUUUAAUACUCUACCCACGCAGAUCCAAGAAAGAUGAUUGUUGCAUCUCAGUAGACGGCCAAAUAUAACAUGCUAGGAUUUUUGUCCUAUGAUAAACAUGAUACUGAAAAUAAAUAUGGUGCCAAAUUUGCCUGAGGAGAAGAGAGAUUACCACUUGCUCUUAAGCAGACAGCUGGCAGAAAUUUCCAGUCAUGGAAAUGUGUAAAAUGUAAGAAUGGUAACUAGAAACCUCAGUUGGAAUCCAGAAAAUGUUUACUCACAAAAUUCCCUGGAUGUUAGAAAUUACAUACUGAAACCGGCUACAGUUAGUCACAGUGGACCAAAUUUUGCCUCUUCAGGGGGUGCAGGGAGCUGGUGCAAUUAUGCUGAGUUGGAGGGGGCAGGAUUUCAGUUGGCCUGACAGGGUAUGCACAUCCAGCUCUCUAGGGAUCCCCGGCAAGUUGUUUGGGAGCCACGAUUAUUUGCUAGGAUUACCAAUUUUGGUUGGACCUAUUCCUGGAGGUUUCAUCACAUGACAUAAUCUAUAAUUAAAGAUUAACCUUUGAUUCGCG